UUCGGCCGUACCAUGCUGAAUAUACCGGUUCUCGUUAGAUCACCGAAGUCAAGCAUCAUUGGGCGCGGUCAGUACUUGGGUGGGUGACCACCUGGGAACACUGCGUGCCGUU